CAGCCGUAAACUAUGCUCGCUAGGUGUCAGGCAUGGCGCGACCGUGUCUGGUGCCGCAGGGAAGCCGUGAAGCGAGCCACCUGGGAAGUACGGCCGCAAGGCUGAAACUUAAAGGAAUUGGCGGGGGAGCACAACAACGGGUGGAGCCUGCGGUUUAAUUGGACUCAACGCCGGACAACUCACCGGGGACGACAGCAAUAUGUAGGCCAGGCUGAAGACCUUGCCUGAAUCGCUGAGAGGAGGUGCAUGGCGUAGACGUCU
rnacentral:rRNA from 1 species